rnacentral:rRNA from 1 species
GAACGCUGGCGGCAUGCCUUACACAUGCAAGUCGAACGGCAGCACGGGAGCAAUCCUGGUGGCGAGUGGCGAACGGGUGAGUAAUAUAUCGGAACGUGCCCAGUCGUGGGGGAUAACGUAGCGAAAGCUACGCUAAUACCGCAUACGAUCUAUGGAUGAAAGCGGGGGAUCGCAAGACCUCGCGCGAUUGGAGCGGCCGAUAUCAGAUUAGGUAGUUGGUGAGGUAAAGGCUCACCAAGCCGACGAUCUGUAGCUGGUCUGAGAGGACGACCAGCCACACUGGGACUGAGACACGGCCCAGACUCCUACGGGAGGCAGCAGUGGGAAUUUUGGACAAUGGGCGCAAGCCUGAUCCAGCAAUGCCGCGUGCAGGAUGAAGGCCUUCGGGUUGUAAACUGCUUUGUACGGAACGAAACGGUGAGCUCUAAUACAGUUUGCUAAUGACGGUACCGUAAGAAUAAGCACCGGCUAACUACGUG